AGGCAUUAUGUGUAUCUGGUUCAACAGUAUCAAGGCACGUGAAUGGGAUCCAAGCAAGCAGAGCUGACAUGAUUAUUUCGGUACUUAUGAAGCAAGCUGGUCUACAACUUCGAGAAAGUGAAGUACUAAAACAAUUGAACAAGAGGCAAGAGGCAAGAAACAUCAAAUUAAAGGAGUCAUCAAAUUAUCGAGAGAAAGGAAAAGACUCAAGUUGUUGGCAAAAGAGCAAGAUAUGAUGGAGCAAAGUAGAAAAUAGAUGGAAGGAGGAACUGGAGCAUUGUAAACCCAUGUUACUUCUAAUA